UAGCGUAGCCCGGUUAGCGCGCCUGCUUUGGGAGCAGGAGGUCGCAGGUUCAAAUCCUGN
rnacentral:tRNA from 1 species